rnacentral:rRNA from 1 species
UACGUAGGGACCAAGCGUUGUUCGGAUUUACUGGGCGUAAAGGGCGCGUAGGCGGCGUGACAAGUCACUUGUGAAAUCUCCGGGCUUAACUCGGAACGGUCAAGUGAUACUGUCGUGCUAGAGUACAGAAGGGGCAACUGGAAUUCUCGGUGUAGCGGUGAAAUGCGUAGAUAUCGAGAGGAACACCUGCGGCGAAGGCGGGUUGCUGGGCUGAUACUGACGCUGAGGCGCGAAAGCCAGGGGAGCGAACGGG